rnacentral:rRNA from 1 species
AUUGAACGCUGGCGGCAGGCCUAACACAUGCAAGUCGAACGCGUGGCGGACGGAUGAGUAAUGUCUGGGAAACUGCCUGAUGGAGGGGGAUAACUACUGGAAACGGUAGCUAAUACCGCAUCCCAUCGGAUGUGCCCAGAUGGGAUUAGCUAGUAGGUGGGGUAAAGGCUCACCUAGGCGCCGAUCCCUAGCUGGUCUGAGAGGAUGACCGGCCACACUGGAACUGAGACACGGUCCAGACUCCUACGGGAGGCAGCAGUGGGGAAUAGUGCACAAUGGGCGAAAGCCUGAUGCAGCCAUGCCGCGGGUAUGAAGAAGGCCUUCGGGGUGUAAAGUACUUUCAGCGGGGAGGCGGUACCCGCAGAAGAAGCACCGGCUAACUACGUGCCAGCAGCCGCGGUAAUAC